CCAAGGAGAAGAAGUUAAAGAUGGAGGUAUCAGCAGUCAAGCUUGAGUUGAAGUUAGAAAGAGAAGCAAACAGUAGGCAUGAAGAAGAAAAAGAAAAGCUAAAGGGAAAAUAUAGAGUUAAGAAGACAUUGAAGGAAUCUGAAGAGAAGAUAAAGGAGAAGGACUCAACUCUGGAGGAGAUGAAGAAGACAUUGAAUCUGAAGAGAAGAUAAAAGAGAAGGGCUCAACUCUGGGGGAGAUGAAGAAGACAGAAGAGAAGCAUCUAAAGGAAAAAGACAGAAAAGUAAACUUGCUCAACAGUUGAGCGAUUUGAAGUUUGAAAUGGAGAAACUGAAAACAAAAACCUCAGUCCUGAAGACCGCCACCCAACACAGCUUCUGUUCUUUGGCAAUGACAUCAUCGGGGUGGGAGUGAACUUUAACCUCCAGAAGCUGCAUGAGGGGAGAGUUUCUCUAGCUGGCCCAUUAUCAUGAAUACCGUCGGUGGACUUCCGUUUUAUUUCUAUCAUUGUGGAAAAUUGUGUUUUGUUUGUCAAGAAAGGAUACAAGGGACCUGGGAGAGGAGACUUGGUGUUUCACUCGUUGCCAUAUCUUAAUACAGAUAUACAGGUCAAUUGGUUCUUGUAAAAG
ensembl:lncRNA